UUCUUUGACAGUGAGAAGGUUGCAGAGAUAUCCUAUGUCGCUGCAAAAGUUUGAAAAAAUUAUGAUUGAGAGCAUGGUGUAUUUAAUACAAAUAGUGUCAAACGUCCACAAUGUUGUGGAGACACAUAAAACAUGGAACUAUCCGAUUGCCUCAAAAGACGCCCUAAUCUUAAGGCAAUUUGAAAUGAACCAACCGCAAGUACGACGGUCCUUGAUUAGAACGCUGUCUAGGACUGGAGGAAAAACAUUUGAGAGCAUGCACCAACAAGAUAAUGGAAAGGUUUGAAUCCACAUACAAGCUUAAUAUAUAUAGCAUACAUAUAUUGGAACGGACAACAGUGGACUUCAACAAUGCGGCGGUGCAUUUUUUUUUUCUUUUUUCUCCCGUUGGGUUAGG